GUUGCGGAAUGGCGCACAGCAACUGGGAAGCGGACUAAAGCCAUGGCACCAGUGGUAGCUCUUCGAUGGAGCGCCUCCUGCCAUGAAGGCACAACCAGCGGCUCCCCACGAUACACAACACCGAGAUGAUGAGGUAUGCCAUGGAAUGGUUGGGUUUUGAGUGGUAGGUGAUCCCUAUGCCGGCUGUGAUAGCGGCCAUCAUUGGUAUACAACAAUGCAGUGAUUGUCUCGGGUGUGCUCCUAUCCUCCCCACCUCCCCUAGAUGCGCAAUGUUAGGAAAACUAAUGAUUUUGUUCUCGGAUGUUCAUACAUAAUCUAGGUUGUUAUUGAGCUCCACGGCUGGCCUUAGAUUGGCUAUUCAGCAUCGGCACACUUUACUGAAAUCUAUACCAUAAGAACCUGUGCUCCAGUCUGACGAAGCAGCCAAGCUGUAUAUACACAUCUUUGCUUCCUGAUCCAUUUUGUUUUGCGAUUCAGGCCACCCCUGAUGGUCAGGCUGAUGCUUCUUCGCUUGAUUCUGAAGAAAAGGAUGAUCAGAUUCAGAUCUCCAAGAACAAUAG